rnacentral:rRNA from 1 species
UACGAAGGGGGCUAGCGUUGCUCGGAAUCACUGGGCGUAAAGGGUGCGUAGGCGGGUCUUUAAGUCAGGGGUGAAAUCCUGGAGCUCAACUCCAGAACUGCCUUUGAUACUGAGGAUCUUGAGUUCGGGAGAGGUGAGUGGAACUGCGAGUGUAGAGGUGAAAUUCGUAGAUAUUCGCAAGAACACCAGUGGCGAAGGCGGGUCACUGGCCCGAUACUGACGCUGAGGCACGAAAGCGUGGGGAGCAAACAGG